UACAGAGGUGGCAAGCGUUGUUCGGAAUUACUGGGCGUAAAGGGCGCGUAGGCGGCCAUCUAAGUCAGACGUGAAAUCCCCCGGCUUAACCUGGGAACUGCGUUUCUAACUGGCAGGCUUGAGUGUGGCAGAGGGGGGUGGAAUUCCACGUGUAGCAGUGAAAUGCGUAGAGAUGUGGAGGAACACCGAUGGCGAAGGCAGCCCCCUGGGCUAACACUGACGCUCAUGCACGAAAGCGUGGGGAGCAAACAGG
rnacentral:rRNA from 1 species